AGAAGCUAAAAUUAAAAACCCUAACGCCUGUUCAUGUUCUCUCUUGAAGUUGUUGUCCCUAAUCUAAAACCAGCUCCGAUCGAUCUCUUCCUUGACGAACGACAAUGACUCUCUAUGGCCGUCGUCCCUCACGGUCCUCCGAGUCAGGUCCAGCAGAUGGAUGCCACCAUGAGCCACACACAAGCGCAUCAGCAAAAAAAAGAGGACAAAUCAGAGACCCAUGUACAUUGGCGAGGCUGAUUGGGACACUCUAAUGGAGUAAUGGGAAACAAAACCAGCAAAGAAGAAGAGAAAGAAUGCUGGAAGCCACUUAUCUAAUCAUGAUGGCAUACGGGGUUCACAAGCAUUGUGUAUGUCCUCGACGUUUUUUGCAGAUUGAGCAUGAGAUGAUGUGUGAGUCUAGUUUGGAUGAAGCACCCGUCUUCACUGAUCUUAUGCGGAGGACACACUCACGCAAAGAUGGAAUUUUAAUGGAAGUGCUGAUCUCUGUUUUGGAGACUAACUUCAAGUGACUCAACACCAAUGUUGGAGAUUUUAAUACUAACAUGGGAAUGGUUAUGGACGAGCUGGUUGCAUCACGACAAGCUCUUAUUCUGGUCAUGUAGUCUCUUGGAGUUAGACAACCCUCUGUUGCUGCUACUCCUGCUACAACUUUUGCUGCUGCUCCUGAUCCAGCUUCUACAACUGCUGCUCCUGCUCCAGCUUCUACACCUGCUGCACCUACUCCAGAGCAAAAAGAGAGAAAGGAGAGAACCUGUG